ACUCGACUCCGUGAAGUCGGAAUCGCUAGUAAUCGUGGAUCAGAAUGCCACGGUGAAUACGUUCCCGGGCCUUGUACACACCGCCCGUCACACCAUGGGAGUGGGUUGCAAAAGAAGUAGGUAGCUUAACCUUCGGGAGGGCGCUUACCACUUUGUGAUUCAUGACUGGGGUGAAGUCGUAACAAGGUAACCGUAGGGGAACCUGCGGUUGGAUCACCUCCUUACCUGAAGAUAC
rnacentral:rRNA from 1 species